rnacentral:rRNA from 1 species
AUACGGAGGACGCGAGCGUUAUCCGGAUUCAUUGGGUUUAAAGGGUGCGCAGGCGGCCGUGCAAGUCAGCGGUGAAAGCCCGGAGCUCAACCCCGGAAGUGCCGUUGAUACUGCAUGGCUGGAAUGCGGUCGAGGCGGGCGGAACGUGGGGUGUUGCGGGGAAAUGCGUAGAUAUGCCACAGAACGCCGAUAGCGGAGGCAGCUCGCCAGGCCUGCAUUGACGCUCGGGCACGAAAGCGUGGGGAUCGAACAGGAUUAGAUACCCUGGUAGUCCACGCCGUAAACGAUGGGCGCUCGUCGUCGGCGGCAGACAGUCGGCGGCCAAGCGAAAGCGAUAAGCGCCCCACCUGGGGAGUACGGUCGCAAGGCUGAAACUCAAAUGAAUUGACGGGG